GUUUUAAUAAUUUAAGAAAAAUAUUGGUCUUGUAAACCAAAUAUAAGCUAAUGCUUUUAAAACU
rnacentral:tRNA from 1 species